AGCCUGGAAUAUGGCCUUGUGGGCCCUUCCCGCCCAAUCCCCUAUGACCCCGCUGCUCAUCUUGUCAACCAGUUUCUGAGCCCCUACCCUGGCUGCAGCACGCGCUUGCACAGGCGCGCUGAGCUACUAACAUAGAAUCAAAAGCAGGGGGUUGGGUGUUCUUGCUUUCCCGCUGAAGCCUAGAAUGUAAGCAAGCCCUAGACCAUCAGCUCUGGGUGGGUAGGGGCCUCUCCCUGCCUAGAACUGCACUUGCCAUGGGUAGGCACCUAACCCUUAUUAGUAAAGGGUCAAACAACCUGCUGCCCGGAUACUGACCUUCACCACUUACCUCUUGCUCCCAGCCCAAGCGCACUUCAGAGCAUUGCCUCAUUCAGGUCCCUGGAGUCCUAAGGGUUUUAGUCUCUCAGUAUGGGCAACUAUUCACAUGUAAGGGAGCUGCAGGUGUUAUUUCAAUGCCAUCUGGCCUCUAUAAGGUCUUGCAUCAUAGCUAACCUCUCAUGAGAAGGUUCUGAUGAGGUUACCAGGGAGAAGGAAUGUAAAGGGCUGGUGGCUGAAAAGGAGUGAAAUGGCCCCUCUUAGGUGAGCUCUGGCUUGGUUUGAGUUUCAACUCUGUCUCCUCAGCUCCAUUUCUCAAUGGGAAAAGGUUCAUAGGAAGGUUGUCAGAAAGGCAAGAGACUAGGCCAUGGACGGCCCUUUGCAGACCCUGAAAAAUUGCUCAGUAAUGCAAAAAUUGUCCAUAUUUAAGUUAUUUCUUUUCUAUCUCGUGAACCAAAGGACUGCUACAGGCAAGGAAGACCAUCUGACUCAGUUCCAGGGGUUCCUUAGCAUGCUGCUGAUUGGCCUAGGAGAAUGGCCUUUGCCCAUAAAGUAUUAGAUGUAGACCACAUGAAUGGAGUAUUCACCAGGUUUCUGUCCAGGUCUGGAUUGGGUAGAAACAUGGCUGGAGGUGCCACACAGGAGAGCUAAAGAAGAGAAGACUUGACUCCCAACCUGAUUCUAGCAGAACUCCACUUUGAUGUGUUUUUAAAAUUGUGCUCUUCUGUUUGCUUUCAUGGAGGCUGCCAUGAAACAUCUUUGACUAGAAUUACCAGGAAAUGCUCAAGGAAGAAAUAUAUGUCCUUGGAUUUUUUUUCCUACCACACUUCAGGAUAUAACUAGAGAAAACGUUUGCCAACAGUGCUUAUCAUAUUAGUACCCUCUGAAGCUUUUCAUAGAUGCUGAUUAUUAUUUUUAAAAUCAUUUUGGGAAUAGGAGCCAAACACUAGGUCGUGACUGUAAAUUACUUUAGUAUUUACAUUACAUGAUGAAAAAUGGAAAUAAAGGAAAUUUCCUGUCAUGAAACAAGUUAGAAUUAAGCAGGUGACUUUCAUGUCCCGAUUUCCAAAGUUUUCUGUUUGUUUCAGACAGAUAAGAUCAUCCAUGGGUUCUUGGACAAGUAACAGGUCUCAUUUUCCCUUGUAGAACAGAAGACAUGGAAAAGACAGCAUAUUCAGACUAUAUUCGUAUUUCCAUACCAUCUUUUGUUGUAAUUGAUUUUCAACAAGAGUCCCUAACAAUCUCUUGAGUUUGGGCCAUCCCCAUAUUCUACAAGGGAAAAUAAGAUCUGUUACUACUCCAGUAACCCAUGCUCACACUAUCUGUAUGGAACACAGAACCAUGAAAAUCUGGAUGCAGAAGUCACUUGUUUAGUUCCAAUCUAUUUUGCGAAAGGAAAUUUCUUUUACUGAAAGAGAUGAAGAAAUUUACAGAAUGGCUUUGGAAUGAGAAGAUUCAGGUGGGACCAUGGAAGCAAGGCUCGUUCUUUAGUGAAUGGAAGUUUGAAAGAAAGAAAAAUAUGCCAAGAUGAUUAAGUUUCACCUAAGAUUUUAAAGCUCCCAUCUAAAAGAUGUGGAAAACAAGCACUAUACCAGAAUAUUGUACCUGAUUUCUGCCCUGUCUUAAAACACCAUGACAUUUUCCUUGAUUUCAAGAAUACAGAAAAUGAACAUGGUCCUUUAAAUUAUGUGACUCUUUCAAAGCAAAAUGGAAACAAGGAAAAACCACAUUUGUUUUCUGCCUCCCUUUUCCAAAAAGCUGAAACUACAGUGCAAAUGAACUCU